rnacentral:rRNA from 1 species
GGAUCAAAUUGUUGGUCGUGCUUCGGUACGCACUGGCAUUAUUGGUUCCUACCUUCUGAAGAACCGCGAUGUCAUUAAUUUGGUGUCGUGGGGAAUCAGGACUGUUACUUUGAAAAAUUAGAGUGUUUAAAGCAAGCUAACGCUUGAAUACAUUAGCAUGGAAUAAUGAAAUAGGACGUUCGAUCCUAUUUUGUUGGUUUCUUAGGAUUGACGUAAUGAUUAAUAGGGAGUAGUUGGG